UAUUAAAAAUUCUAUCCAUAUUUACUAUUAAAAACUGGUGUAGCUGAUGAGAUAACUAGACAGUGACACGUGACAUGUCAUGUGUACCUCAUGUUAACGUUUAAGGACUAAUUUUUAACAAAUAUAAAUGAAUUUCAACA
rfam:Gossypium hirsutum cultivar TM-1 unplaced genomic scaffold scaffold755.1, whole genome shotgun sequence